GUUAAAAGUCAAAAUGGAGUCACGUUUGAAAGUUGCGAGCUAUCGCAUGUUGUGCCCUUUUUCUCUUAUGCACUCAACACAUUGCCUUGUUGUACAUUCGGGUGACAUGCUUGGUUGGUACAUCUAUUGUUUUGUCAUUUAUUAAUGGAGUCAAUCGUUUAGAGCAGACAACGCUUCAGAGACCAGCAGCUGCAAGACAGAAGAUAAAGGAGGAGUUUAGGAAAAAUAUGCAUGAAACAUCUGGAGAAAAUAUUCAAAAGGUUCAUAAUACAUAUCCAAUCUGUGCCACAUGUGGGAAAAACCUCAGAAUUGGGUCACUUUUACCAGGCAGUGUGACCUGAGACCACCAGAAUUUAAAUAAAGACUCUUAGAGGCCAACAGUAUUUUAAUAAAGACUCAUUAAGACCACCAGUAUAUAAAUAAAGACACGUAGAGGCCACCA